rnacentral:tmRNA from 1 species
GGGGUUGACUGGAUUUGACAGCGGGCAGAAAUGGUGAGUAAGCAUGCAGUGCGUCGGUGAUUUGCACUUAAAUCUCAGUUAUCAAAAUUUUAUCUGGCGAAAGACAAUUUGCUCUUGCUGCUUAAUCGAAUCAUAGUAGAUUAGCUUAAUCCCGGUACUAGGUACUGGGACGGGACAUUACUCAGAUGCUGUUGAUCCGAAGCGGUCUGGUUAAGUAAUGCAGUAAUAUCGGAAAUAGUUGGAAGUUACCUCGGGCUUUCGAUGAAGAUGAAAUUAAGAGGAUAAGGUAGAAGUUGAUGGCUUUGGUUCUGCUUCUGCACGAAAAUUUAGGCAAAGAUAAGCAUGUAGAAAGCUUGUGAUUUCCUCGUUUGGACGAGGGUUCGACUCCCUCCAACUCCACU